GACGAACGCUGGCGGCGUGCUUAACACAUGCAAGUCGAGCGGUAAGGCCCUUUCGGGGGUACACGAGCGGCGAACGGGUGAGUAACACGUGAGCAACCUGCCCUUCACUUCGGGAUAAGCCUCGGAAACGGGGUCUAAUACCGGAUAUCACUCCUUACUUCAUGGUUUGGGGUUGAAAGUUUUGGCGGUGGGGGAUGGGCUCGCGGCCUAUCAGCUUGUUGGUGGGGUAAUGGCCUACCAAGGCGUCGACGGGUAGCCGGCCUGAGAGGGCGACCGGCCACACUGGGACUGAGACACGGCCCAGACUCCUACGGGAGGCAGCAGUGGGGAAUAUUGCGCAAUGGACGGAAGUCUGACGCAGCAACGCCGCGUGAGGGAUGACGGCC
rnacentral:rRNA from 1 species